UUAUAUGGAGAGUUUGAUCCUGGCUCAGGACGAACGCUGGCGGCGUGCCUAAUACAUGCAAGUCGAGCGGACGGAUGGGAGCUUGCUCCCUGAAGUCAGCGGCGGACGGGUGAGUAACACGUGGGCAACCUGCCUGUAAGACUGGGAUAACUUCGGGAAACCGGAGCUAAUACCGGAUAAUGCAUUUCCCCUCAUGGGGAUAUGCUGAAAGAU
rnacentral:rRNA from 1 species